GAUGAACGCUGGCGGCAUGCCUAAUACAUGCAAGUCGAGCGACCGCACGAGAAGCUUGCUCCUCUGAUGUUAGCGGCCGACGGGUGAGUAACUCAUGGAUAACCUACCUAUCAGACAGGGAUAACUUCGCGACACCAGGGCUAAUACCGGAUAAUAUGUUUCAUCGCUUUGUUCAAUCGUGAAAUUCGGUCUUUCUGUCACUUAUAGAUGGAUCCGGGCUGCAUUAUAUAAGGGGUAAGGUAACGGCAUACCCACGCAACGAUGCAUAGCCGACCUGAGAGGGUGGGCAGCCACACUGGAACGGAGACACGGUCCAGACUCCGACGGUAGGCAGCAGUAGGGAAUCUUACGCAAGGGGAGAAAGCCUGACGGAGCAAAGCCGCGUGAGUGAUGAAGGUCCUCGGAUCGUAAAACUCUGUUAUUAGUGAAGAACAAAUGUGUAAGUAACUGUGAACAUCUUGACGGUACCUAAUCAGAAAGCAACGGCUAACUACGUG
rnacentral:rRNA from 1 species